rnacentral:rRNA from 1 species
GGAAUCUUCCACAAUGGGCGCAAGCCUGAUGGAGCAACACCGCGUGAGUGAAGAAGGGUUUCGGCUCGUAAAGCUCUGUUGUUAGAGAAGAACGUGCGUGAGAGUAACUGUUCACGCAGUGACGGUAUCUAACCAGAAAGUCACGGCUAACUACGUGCCAGCAGCCGCGGUAAUACGGAGGAUGCAAGCGUUAUCCGGAUUUAUUGGGUUUAAAGGGUGCGUAGGCGGAUGCCUAAGCGUGAGGUGAAAUCCCCGGGCUCAACCUGGGAACUGCCUCGCGAACUGGGUAUCUGGAAUGUCCGUGCCGUGGGAGGAAUGUGUGGUGUAGCGGUGAAAUGCAUAGAGAUCACACAGAACACCGAUUGCGAAGGCAUCUCACGAACGGAUGAUUGACGCUGAGGCACGAAAGCGUGGGGAUCAAACA